rnacentral:rRNA from 1 species
AACGAACGCUGGCGGCGUGGAUAAGACAUGCAAGUCGAACGGGACAACAUUUGUAGCAAUACGGAUGUUGUUUAGUGGCGAACGGGUGCGUAACACGUGGGGAAUCUGCCGAGAAGUGGGGGAUAGCUCGCCGAAAGGCGAAUUAAUACCGCAUGUGAUCAGGGAAGACAUCUUUCCGACAUCAAAGCCGGGGCAACCUGGCGCUUCUUGAUGACCCCGCGGCCUAUCAGCUAGUUGGUGAGGUAACGGCCCACCAAGGCGAUGACGGGUAGCUGGUCUGAGAGGACGACCAGUCACACUGGAACUGAGACACGGUCCAGACACCUACGGGUGGCAGCAGUCGAGAAUUUUUCUCAAUGGGGGCAACCCUGAAGGAGCGACGCCGCGUGGAGGAUGAAGGCUUUCGGGUUGUACACUCCUGUCAUUUGAGAACAAUGGCUACGCGUUAACCGCGCGGAGCUUGAUAGUAUCAGAAGAGGAAGGGACGGCUAACUCUGUGC